GGAGAGGUGCCGGAGUGGUCGAACGGGGCGGUCUCGAAAACCGUUGAUCGCGCAAGCGAUCCGUGGGUUCGAAUCCCACCCUCUCCGCCA
rnacentral:tRNA from 1 species